ensembl:snoRNA SNORA5C small nucleolar RNA, H/ACA box 5C
UGCAGUCAAGUCAAAUUCAGCCCCUGUUCCCGUGGUAGCGGGGGCUGGCCCAGAUGACUGCCACAGCAAGCUCCACAGCUCAUGGGCCCCGGGUCCCCUGCCCUGGGACCUGGGGAUAAGUUUGGCUGCGGACAUGG